rnacentral:rRNA from 1 species
UACGGAGGGGGCUAGCGUUGUUCGGAAUUACUGGGCGUAAAGCGCGCGUAGGCGGCUUUGUAAGUUAGAGGUGAAAUCCUGGAGCUCAACUCCAGAACUGCCUUUGAUACUGAGGAUCUUGAGUACGGGAGAGGUGAGUGGAACUGCGAGUGUAGAGGUGAAAUUCGUAGAUAUUCGCAAGAACACCAGUGGCGAAGGCGGCUCACUGGCCCGUAACUGACGCUGAGGCACGAAAGCGUGGGGAGCAAACAGG